rnacentral:rRNA from 1 species
AGUGAACGCUGGCGGUAGGCCUAACACAUGCAAGUCGAACGGCAGCACAGUAAGAGCUUGCUCUUACGGGUGGCGAGUGGCGGACGGGUGAGGAAUACAUCGGAAUCUACUUUUUCGUGGGGGAUAACGUAGGGAAACUUACGCUAAUACCGCAUACGACCUACGGGUGAAAGCAGGGGAUCUUCGGACCUUGCGCGAUUGAAUGAGCCGAUGUCGGAUUAGCUAGUUGGCGGGGUAAAGGCCCACCAAGGCGACGAUCCGUAGCUGGUCUGAGAGGAUGAUCGGCCACACUGGAACUGAGACACGGUCCAGACUCCUACGGGAGGCAGCAGUGGGGAACAUUGGACAAUGGGCGCAAGCCUGAUCCAGCCAUACCGCGUGGGUGAAGAAGGCCUUCGGGUUGUAAAGCCCUUUUGUUGGGAAAGAAAAGCAGCAGGUUAAUACCCCGCUGUUCUGACGGUACCCAAAGAAUAAGCACCGGCUAACUUCGUG